CAACAUUGACCUUUCCAACAUGGCCGCCACAUAGGCACCUCGACUAGCUACGCCGCGCUGGUGUUUUAAUUUAUAUCGAUGGUCAGACCCGCUUCACACAUUUCCAGCUGUGUUGACGCAAGGCUUGGGUCACAAAAAAAAAUUCAACUCGCAGACUUGCAAAACUCGGAACGCGGUUCCUGUCAUAUGUGUGUGAGAGUCGUCGAAUCGACCAUUUUGCAUGUCAGCGGUCAUUCUCCCAUCCCAAAAAAUAAAAAAAUCACCCUCCGAUCAUAUUUCACGGAUUUAACGGACGCCUCGACGCUUUCACGAAGCUCGACCUCAUCUCACACCAACCAGAAUGCAAAGGCAUCCACAAAACUGCAUUUCCAGAAGACGCACUAAUGCUAAAAAGGUUCCUGAGGGAGCCCCCCAACAGUUGAGAAAGUGACCACCCAAGUGCUGCGAGCUGAAUGCAAUGCACGGAAUGUUCUUUGAAGAUAAAGUAAAGCUGGAGGAAAAGAAAGAAAGAAGGAAUGCAAAAUGAAUGCAGCAAAAUGAUAGUUAUUAGACCAUUUUUUUUUCUUUUCACCAAUAUUCUUGAUUCUGCCUCGUGGGGACAUUUGAUUGAAUGAUUAAUUGAAAUUCCACCUAGCGGUAAAAAAAGGUAAACGAGAUAUACAACCAGGAAAGGUCACUGAUGAUGUAGCGAUAGGCUACCCUUGUGAGGAUAAGCGGCUUGUAUAAUGACAUGACACAACCAGGAGAAACAUUUUCAACCAACAUAUGAUAACCAACAUGUGACUGCUUUGCGACAAUUUAUUUUCGGAUGGAACUGGGGGCACUAAUGAUCGUGCCCCACGAAGUCUGCCUAGCAACAAGAGGCCACACAAACAACGUGAUCUGAAUAAAAAAUGUGAAUCCUAAUCAACUUUGUGAGCAUGACUGCACUUUGCCAUUGUUUUUGAUGGGCUAAGGGGCACAAAUGUCAUGUCAUUAUCCAAGCUGCUUAUCCUCACAAGGGUAAUGGGAAAGCUGGAGCCAAUCCCAGCUAGCUUCAGGCGAAAGGCGGACUACACCCUGAACCGGUCGCAAGUCAGUCGCAGCGCAGAUAUCGACACCAUCACUGAGCGGGAAUCGAUCCCACGCGCCCCACACCAAAGGCAGGCGUGUGUACCACUGCACCGUCAGUGAAUCCGGGCACAAAUGAUUUUAUCUAAAAAAACAAAUAAAUAAAUUCUUCAACAUCAGACUGGACUGGACAAACCAUUGGAGUUGGGUCAUAAAUGAGGAUGCCCCACGAAUUCUGCCUUUGCAACAAGGGGUCAUCAAAGACAGUCGGGGGGGGGGGGGGGUCAGGCCAAUUUAAGUCAUGUUAACUGCCUUGUGAGAAUUUUAUUUUUGGACACACUUGAGGUCACUAAUGACGCCGCGUCACAAAUUCCACUCAGCAGCGAAAUGCUGCACAAACGACUCAGGUGAGGUUCCCAAACCCAACGCAGGCACGGACAUGCAAAUUCCACACAGGCGGGGCCGGGAUCAAACCCGGAUCCUCUGAACUGUGAGCCCAACGCUUUACCAGCUGCCCCACCGUGCCGCCCCAAAAAACAUGCAACAUGGAUUGGGCACUCAAAAUUACCCCGCCUCCUGCCCGUUGACAGCUGGCAUAGGCUCCAGCACUGCCUGCGACCCUCCUGAGGAUAAGCAGCAAAAAAAAAAAAAAUAGAUGGAUGUACUGUCAUUGUGUUUUUCUACUUUCCUUUGUUUGAUUGAAGACUAAAUUGCCCAUAGGUGUGAAUGUGAGUGCGAGCGGUUUGUUUUUACGUGUCCUGCGAUUGGCCGGCGGCCAGUUCAGGGCGUCUCGCCCAAAGAUAGCUGGGACACGCUCCAGCACGCCCACAACCCUAGUGAGGAUAAGCGGCACAGAAAACAUGGAUGGAUGGCCACUUUGUCCAAUCGAUAAUACAUUGGCGAGAAAUCGAUCAGGUGGGUGUGACGCGGACAAGAACCUUGCUGCUAACGUUCUGCGUAGCACAAUUUCCCGUUCCACACAGGCGGGGCCGGGAUUCGAACCCGGGUCCUCAGAACUGUGAGACCACCGCUUUACAGCUUCCCAACUGUGCUUGUCCGACCAUCUUGUUAUAUUUAGAAAAAAAAAAUACACACACGCAUACAUUUAUUUGGUAUUUGCACGAAAAAGACGGCCAAAUUCCCGGGAGGCCCACAAGGCCCAGACGGCGCACGGCGGCGUUUUAUGACCUGAUCCGCGCACGUGGCGCAUAUCGUGAAAACCGGCUGUCGGUUUACCUUCCUCCGCGCAUACCAAAUAUUUCGCCGCGCUCGUCGAAGCGUGCCAAGUCGCGUCUGACAAAACAAUAAGGCACCGGCGGCGGGAUUAAGCGGAGCGGAGGAAAAAUGAGCGGACGUGUUCUUCACGUUGGGGUGCGAACAGAUUCACGACAAAGCCAGCGAAGGCACAUUCCAAAACAUUUUUCAACAUCUUCGAAAAGUUUCAAAAGGCAAACCAACUUUCAGGCAACUUUUCCAGCUUCAGACAUUCUUUAACUUUGAUAGCGAAGCCAUGUUAUCAGUUUUUCACUGUGGACUCACUCGGAUCCAUUUAUCAGCAAAGAUGCUCCGAUGAGAUUUGAUAUGAUUUAUAUCCAGAUGGCCCACUCUGUUCUUGAGUCUUUUUUUUUCUUCUCCACUUUCAUCCAUUUUCUGUGGCGCUUGUCUUCAUUAGGGUGGUGGGUGAGGUGGCGCCUGUGCCAAGUACCUCUGGGCAAUCGGCGGGGUACGCCACGGACUGGUCGCCGGUCAAUCGCGGGGCACAUAAACACAAACUUAACACGGGAGGGUCAAAGUCAAGAUUCGAGCCCCGAACCUCAGAACUGUGAGGCAAAUGUGCCCACCGCUACUCCACUGCUCAGUCUUUCUUAUCUUCAAUUUUGUCUAAAAUGCUUGCAUGAUUGUUUUUUUCUAAAUAAUUUUAGAAAUAUUUAAGUUUUUAAAAACACUUGAUUAGUUAUGUUUAUUGUAAAUAACAUUUUUAAACUACAAAAAACAUGUAAAUUAAUUACAGUAUGCAUUAGAAAACUUUAUUUUGUCCUUUGUAAGUAAAAAUAUUAAUCAAUAAACAAUAAAUAUUGU